AUGUCGUUCAUCUUCCAUCUUCAUGCCAUGAUCUUCACUAAACCUUGCUUCACCAUUGAACUAACCAUGCUUCAAAACUAUUUCUCCAUCAAAAAUCUGGCUGUUGUAGCCCUGCAAAUAAAACCAAAACCAGUUCCAAACAAAACUAAACUGGCCCUGCAUCAGUUAUGGGCAAAAAACCAGCCCCGCGACAUAAACCGGUUCAAAUCCGCGCUUUGCGACUUCAAGCCAUGUUCAAAACCAAUACAACCCUGCAUUUUGAUUCUUGCAACCAAAUAA